rnacentral:rRNA from 1 species
UGUUGCUUGCAAGGGCGUAUGGUGGAUGCCUUGGCAGACAGGACCGAUGAAGGACGUUUGAGGCUGCGAUAUGCCUCGGGGAGCCGCCAACAGGGCUUUGAUCCGAGGAUUUCCGAAUGGGGGAACCCACCGACCGUCAUGGGUCGGUACCGGCUUCGGCCGGGGGGUACGCAGGGAAGUGAAACAUCUCAGUACCUGCAGGAAAGGAUAUUCCGUGAGUAGUGGCGAGCGAAAGCGGAUGAUGGCCAAACCUUGCGCGUGUGAUACCCGUCGGGGGUUGCGCGCGGGGUGUUGCGGGAUCGCGUGCGCCGGCUCCGACGGGCCGGCCGGCAGUUGCAGAAAACCAUGUGUCAGGGGAACCGGGUUGAAUACCGGGCCGCAGAGGGGGAGGGCCCCGUACCUGAACGCGCAUGGUCUGCCGAUCGCGUCUCCCAAGUAGCACGGGUCCCGUGGAACCCCGUGCGAAUCCGCCCAGACCGUUGGGUAAGCCUGAAUAUUCCUGUCUGACCGAUAGCGAACGAGUACCGUGAGGGAAAGGUGAAAAGUACCCCGGGAGGGGAGUGAAACAGUCUCUGAAACCGUGCGCCUACAAUCCGUCGGAGCCCUUUUGUGGGGUGACGGCGUGCCUAUCGAAAAAUGAGUCUGCGAGUCAGUGGCAUGUGGCGAGCAUAACCCGUGUGGGGUAUGCGUAGCGAAGGCGAGUCUUAAAAGGCGUUUGAGUCGCGUGUCCUGGACCCGAAGCGGGAUGAUCUAGCCCUGAGCAGGUUGAAGCGCGGGUAAGACCGCGUGGAGGACCGAACCCACCUGGGUUGAAAACCGGGGGGAUGACUUGGGGCUAGGGGUGAAAGGCCAAUCAAAUUCCGUGAUAGCUGGUUCUCUCCGAAAUGCAUUUGGGUGCAGCGUCGGGUCAUUACGUCCCGGGGGUAGAGCUACUGGAUGCUUGCGGGCCCGUAUCGGGUACCAACAGCAACCAAACUCCGAAUACCGGUGACGCGUAUCCCGGCAGUGAGUCGGCGGGGGAUAAGCUUCGUCGUCGAAAGGGAAACAGCCCAGACCGUCGUCUAAGGUCCCGAAGCGUGUGCUAAGUGGGAAAGGAUGUGGAGUCGCAUAGACAGCCAGGAGGUUGGCUCAGAAGCAGCCACCCUUGAAAGAGUGCGUAACAGCUCACUGGUCUAGUGGUUCCGCGCCGACAAUGUAGCGGGGCUCAAGCACACCACCGAAGACGCGGCAGUAUUUUGUACUGGGUAGGAGAGCGUCCCAUGAGGGGCGAAGCGGCCGUGUGAACGCGCCGUGGACUUCAUGGGAGUGAGAAUGCAGACAUGAGUAGCGAGAGACGGGUGAAGAUCCCGUCCGCUGGAUGACCAAGGGUUCCAGGGCCACGUUCAUCGUCCCUGGGUGAGUCGGGUCCUAAGGCGAGGCCGACAGGCGUAGUCGAAUGGAUGAACGGGUCGAUAUUCCCGUACCGGCUUUCAGCCGCCAAAACCGAGGCUUGGAGUACUAACCUCCGGGUCCGGGCUUACUGCUCCUUCGGGGGCGGGAUGCCCUGGCCUGUUGGGACCGAUCCUUGUAGUAGGUCAGCGCAGGAGUGACGCAGAAGGGUAGCCGGCCGCGGAGGUGGUCUUCCGUGGUCAAGCACGCAGGGCGUGGGACAGGCAAAUCCGUCCCGCAUGGGUCCGAGGUGCGAUGAUGGGGGCCUUAUGGCCCGAUAUCCGGUGAUCCCGGCUGCCGAGAAAAGCUUCGGCGUCAGGCUCAAAGCCGCCCGUACCCCAAACCGACACUGGUGGUCAGGUAGAGAAUACCAAAGCGAUCGAGCGAAUCCUGGUCAAGGAACUCGGCAAAUCACUCCCGUUCCUUCGGUUUAAGGGAGACCCCCGAUGGUGAACACACUUGCUGUGGGAGCUUUUGGGGGUGGCACAGACCAGGGGGUAGCGACUGUUUACCAAAAACACAGGUGCAUGCGAAGGCGCAAGCCGCUGUAUAUGCACUGACGCCUGCCCGGUGCCGGAAGGUUAAGAGGAUCCGUCAGCCUUCGGGUGAAGCGGUGAAUUCAAGCCCCGGUAAACGGCGGUGGUAACUAUAACCAUCCUAAGGUAGCGAAAUUCCUUGUCGGGUAAGUUCCGACCUGCACGAAUGGCGUAA